rnacentral:lncRNA from 1 species
GUAGCGCUGCGAGCAGCUGCGUCUCCCUCCCGGGGCUCGCGCGCCCAGAACCCUCCGGUCUCAAGGAAGCAGGAAAUAGCCCGAAUCACAAUAAUAUACGGGAGCAGCCGCGGAGGCCGCUGGCGCCCUCCCAUUCCCGGGGAGCUUCCCGCACUCCGGCUUGGGUGAAGUGCAGCCAGCGACGCGCGCAGGGAGCGCAGGGGGACACCAGCCCAGCAGCUAGCGCCGCGCCGCCCAGCGCCCCGGAGAGCCGCCUUCGCCCUCGCCCAGCGCCCGACACCGCCGGCCGCGGCGGCGGCCGCCACCGGCUCUAGGCAAGUACCCUCCUCUCUCUCCCUCCCCGGCCCAGGUGCUGCCUGCCGCACGCCCCGGGAGAGCCGCCGAGGCGCGGCAGCCUGUGCCCAGGCGUCGCCGGGAUGCCUUCCCUCCUGUCCCGACUUUGGCCAGGGAAUGAUUUGGUGGGCGCGAAUUCGCGCUGGUGCCCUGGGUCGUUUGUGCAGGCGGGGUGAGGGGCAGCGCGAGUAAACGGGUUGACAUCCCCUAGGUUUCUCUGCAGAGUGCGCUGUGUACUUCAUCGGGCAUUUACUUUUUCACUGCUUCCUCAUCGCCCCCGGGGCGGCAGCGCCUCACAGGGUCUCUCUGGGGGAAUCAUCAACAGGUGUGCCUGAACACGCACCUGCGGCAGCCACAGGUGUCUGGGAGCCACCUUUUUUCUUCUCCCUGGCCUGGCACCCUUUCACUCAAGGGAUGGAAACUGUUUCACUUUCUGCUGAGCUUCUCUUUUACCCGAUUAAAAGGGCCUUUGAAUUUCUGUUGGCGCAG